rnacentral:rRNA from 1 species
GACGAACGCUGGCGGCGUGCUUAACACAUGCAAGUCGAACGGUAAGGCCCUUCUUUUUUUGGUUUCUCUUGUUGCGAUCGUGUGUGUUUCACUUUUGUCACCUGCCCUUGUCUUUGUUAUAUCUUCAGGAAACUUGUUCUAUUACCGUAUAGGAUCUCCUGCUGCUUUGUGUUGUUUGGUAAGUUUCGGCUGUUGGGGAUGGACUCGCGGCUUAUCAGCUUGUUGGUGUGGUAGUGGCUUACCAAGGCUUUGACGGGUAGCCGGCCUGAGAGGGUGACCGGCGACAAUGGGACUGAGAUACGGAACAGAGUGCAACGGGAGGCAGCAGUGGGGAAUAUUGCACAAUGGGCGGAAGCAUGAUGAAGAAAAGGAGGGAGGGGGAAGAAGGGAAUGGGGUUGAAAAAAGAAUGAGAAUGAGAAGAAGAGUGAGUGACGGUAAUGGGUAAAGAAGCAACGGCUAACUACGUG